rnacentral:misc_RNA from 1 species
GGAUCUCAAAUAAAUAUUUCAUACAGUGUGAACUCCCAUAGCUCCUCUAUUUUUCUUGUAAUUGCCCAAGGGAGUGAAGGCCUUUCUGAAUGGCUCGAGGACCCGACAUAUCCAAACACCACUUUAUCAUGGAAUGUCAUUCAUGGAAGUGGUAUUAUCCACCAGGAAAUACUGAAAUCUUCAACUUAUUAUGUUGCAGCAGGGAACUUGAACUCAGAGGAUGUAGAGGUAAUUGCAGAAAACAGCCCACCUACUUUUGUUUUAUUAAUUGGUUUCUUCAUCUUGCAGGAAUGUUGCUCAAACAUUUAAUACAAUUGGGUCAUAAACAUCUUGUUUCUUUCUUAUAUUGCCAACCACAAAAAGAAAAAAGUGUUUCUUUGGCUUCCACAUAUGUGAUUUUGGGUUAUGGAAGGGCCUAAAUAAGAUGAAUUUGCAAGAGACAAAAACCUUAGGUCUCCAAAGGCUUUUAUUAUUGUAAUAUCUGCUGAUUUACAAAGCAAACCACACAUACAAGAAAACCCAAUUCCAACUUGAACCACACAAAACUUAUAAUUUGAUACAAUAAUGAAGGAACAUAAGAACCCAUACAGUAUAUAAGAAAUCUUUGUUUUGUCAAUAUAAGAAAUUACUCAUUCAAAUAUUUGUUCAAUGCACUUAUUCUGCAGUCUGUGUUGACAAAUUGGAGAGCUUUUAUAUUAUUUGGAACUGAAAAGUUUGGUUCCAUUUCCCAAAUUAAGCCUUUGUCUGAAGGUUAGCCUUUUAGUUAUGGAAGUGCUCCUGCACUGCAAUUCAAAGUAACCCUACUGUAAAGCCAGAGUGAGGAAAAAGUGGGAGCUAGAUUGGCAGAGCAGUGAAACUUUAGGCCCAGGCUAUGUGUCUUCAUUUGUAUAAAAAUCAUGAAAAAAAAAAUAAAUUAUGAUGUGUCUAUGUAUAUAUUGCAGAUAUCACUUAUUCGUGUAUGUUGAUGUAGCACUCAUGAAACUUUUUUGUACCUCUAAAGAUGGGAACAUGAGGAGACAAAUGGUUAUGUUCAUUAGCUUGGAAUUUAUCUUGUUUGCAACUUGUAGCCCAGCCCAAAUUCAAAUUUAAAUUUAUAUCUUCAAUGCUUUUAA